rnacentral:lncRNA from 1 species
UGAUUGAAAACUUUGAAAGAGGUUGGCACAGCAGAAGCAGACUGGCAGGGUUGUUUACAAUGGCGACGCAAUUAGUUGAGGGAGGAGACUUUGACUUGCUGUCUACUAUAUAUGACAUAAUAAAAAGUGUCGAAAAAGAACAACAAGAUAACGCCCAAAAGCAGAAAGAUAGCCAAGAAGCUGGUCAAAAAGUUCUGGAAUUACAAAGAAAGUUGGAUCACGCAAGAGAAGUGGUUAAAAAGCUUCCCGGAAUUGAACUCAGUAAAGACGAACAACUGCUACAAAUUGAUUUACUUAGAAGACAACUCACACUGAAAAGAGAUCUUCUGAACAAAUACAGAUUGAUUACUUCUUUUGAUCGUGAAGCUCAGUCAGAGUUUCAAAUUCACCAACAUUAAUUAUGGUUUUCCGUUACUUUUUCAAUUACUUUGCCAACAACCCACAAGGUAAGUCUUUGGGAGAAGGUGUUAUUCAAGAAAAACUAAAGGACGGAGCAGGGAGAGUUAGUUCAUUUCAUGGAAGAUUCAAAGAGGAACUCAAGCAAGGAAUGAAAGAAAUUAAAGAUGCUAAAAAAAGGUGACCAAGAUCUUCCAAGAAUUAUGUAUUUCUUUUACUUGUAUUGUCAAUAAAGUAGUGCUGCUGCA